GGUGCACAAACGCCGCCCCUCCCCUCUGCCUGGGGAGCAGGGCAAGAGCUGAGUACACACACACUUGGAGGGCGGGCACCUCUUCUCCACCCCCACCCCAAUCUUUCUGGAUCCAGGGGGCAUGUGAGGAGGGGCUCUGCUAGGACCUGUGCCCUGGGCUCCAGUCACCCCAGCAUCCGGUGGGCAGGUUUCCCACCACCCAACCCGGAGGGCUUGGCAUCUGUGAGCCCACAUCCUGCAGCAGGGGCCCCCUCUGGCUCUCCGGCCAGCUAGGGGACACCCGGGCCCUCCUCUGCAUACCCCCCCCCACCACCACGUCGCCUCUGAACUUGGAUGGCCAUGAUGGGGUCCCGCGGCUCUCUGCUCCUCGCGGGAGCAGGGAUCUCGCUACUGGGCUAGCGUGGGAUACAAGAGGCCCUGGGGAGAAUGCCUGGAGGGUCCCGCUGUAGCUCAGCCGCCGCCGCUCCGCAGUAUGACCAGUGGACCAUCUCCAAGGCCUGCGGGAAAAACUUGCCUUUGCGACUGGCGCACUGCCGCAGCACCAUGGAGGUGGUGCGGGAGAAGCUGCGCAAGUACGUCUUCGACCGCGUGAACAUGCACAACCUACUGAUCCACCUGGUGCGGCGGCGCGGGAAGAAGCUGGAGAGCAUGCAGCUGGAGCUGGCCAGCCUGCGGAGCCAGCCAGACGCCAGCAAGGAGGAGCUGCGGUUGCUGCAGAUCAUCCGCCAGCUGGAGAAUAACAUCGAGAAGACAAUGGUCAAGAUCAUCACCAGCCAGAACAUCCACCUGCUGUAUCUGGAUCUGCUGGAUUAUCUGAAGACAGUGCUGGCAGGAUAUCCCAUCGAGCUGGACAAGCUGCAGAACCUCGUGGUCAACUACUGCUCAGAGCUGUCGGAUAUGAAGAUCAUGUCCCAAGACGCCAUGAUGAUUACGGAUGACGUCAAGAGGAACAUGAGGCAAAGGGAGGCGUCCUUCAUUGAGGAGCGCCGGGCAAGGGAGAACCGGCUCAACCAGCAGAAGAAGCUGAUCGACAAGAUCCACACGAAAGAGACCAGCGAAAAGUACCGCCGGGGCCAGAUGGACUUGGACUUCCCCUCGAACCUGAUGAGCAUGGAGACCCUGAAAUGACAUCGCUGGCCGCUUCCUGGCCCAGAGGAACACGGAGGAGAACCUGGAGCUGCAGAUGGAGGAGUGUGAGGAGCGGCGGGUGCAGCUGAAGGCCCUGGUGAAGCAGCUGGAGCUGGAGGAGGCCGUGCUCAAGUUCCGCCAGAAGCCUAGCUCCAUCAGGUGCCCCGGGCUUCCGGGGCUGCGGGCCACCCACCCCAGUCUCACGAAGGCCCCGGGCUGCAGCCAGGCUGGGAGCUGGGAGUGUACCCACUGCCAACAAGCCUGUGUGUCCCACAGAGGGGCCAGGGGACUCCACUUGCACACAUCUGAGCUUCUGAGUCCCUGAUUCUAGCACAGCACCCGACUCAGGACUGGGCUCCUGGGUGGCCCACCAUGGCCCUCGGGCCUGUGCCCCUCACUGCUGUGUCCCUAUUGCCUUCUGCAGCUUCAAGUCCAUUGAGAAGAAGAUGACAGACAUGCUAGAAGAGGAAGAAGAGAGGCUCCAGCUCGCGCACAGCAACAUGACCAAGGGCCAGAAGCUGCUGCUGACCAUCCAGAUGGGCAUCGACAACCUCUAUGUCCGGCUGAUGGGCAUUACCUUGCCUGCGACCCAGAGAGAAGUGGUGCUCUCCGACACCCUCGAUUUGAACAGCAAGCUGGCGUAUUGCGAGGGGAAGCUCACGUACCUGGCUGACAGAGUGCAGAUGGUGUCCAGGACCGAAGAGGGCUACACAAAGGUGAGGGACGCCCUGGAGUCCUCGACUCUGAAGGAGAAGUACAACACCAGGAUCAGCUUUGAGGACCGGGAGGAGGAUAUGAUCGGACUGCUGCGGACGCUGGGGCGACCGGGGUAUCGGAGACAAGCACGGGGCACGCAGGAUCGGGGGAGGUUCUGCGCAAGUAGGCAGCCAGGGCUGGAAACUGCGCGCCAGAACCGCGUGCGCAUGCGCCGGCCGCGCGCGCCGCGGCCCACGGCCCUCGCGGCGCCCCGUAGCCGCGCACCCCUCGCGUCCCGCCGAGCCGGCGCCAAGAUGGCGGCACUGACGCCUAGAGAGCGGCCGCGCCGGAGGCAGCGGGGGUCGGAGCGGAGCAGUCGCGGCUGAGGUUCCCGAGUCGCCGCUCGAGGCUGCGCUCCGCCGCCGGGACCCCGGCCUCUGGCCGCGCCGGCUCCGGCCUCCGGGGGGCCGGGGCCGCCGGGACAUGGUGCGAGUCGCACCCCUUCCCCGCCGCCGCUGAGCUCGCCGGCCGCGCCCGGGUUGGGACGUCCGAGCGAGAAGAUGUUUUCCGCCCUGAAGAAGCUGGUGGGGUCGGACCAGGCCCCGGGCCGGGACAAGAACAUCCCCGCCGGGCUGCAGUCCAUGAACCAGGCGUUGCAGAGGCGUUUCGCCAAGGGGGUGCAGUACAACAGUGAGUGCGGCGGGCCGGGGGGGCGCGGGAGCGCCGCGCGGGUCUCGGAGCCCAGGCCCGGGGCGCCGCGCGGUGGUGGGUGUCGGUCUCGCCUGCUUGCCCGUUGUGGGGUGCGCUGGGCCCGCCGGGCGCUCCGGGAGCGGGGACGCGGGCCAGGGGACGCGAGGAGAGGCCGGGCCAGGCCCGAGUCCUCGCGGCCCCAGAGCCGCGGGUCGUUUCCCGGCCGCGCUCGCCUGCCGCGUGUCGCUUCCGCCGCGCUGUGCAGUGGAGCGGGUCGGCGGCGCCGGGGGUGAUUACAUAACGCCAAGCAGGGCCCGCCGGCCCGGGGCGCCGCGCCCCCGAGGCUCCACGGUGCCCAGCCCCGGGCACCACUCACCUGCAGGAGGUGCGGGGAACCCAGCCGGCCUUGGCGCUUUCAGCGGGAUUUUUUUUUGUUGACUUCGUACUGAGUUUGAAGACAGAAUAUUAGCUACGCCACACAUUCUCGCCUUUUUUUUUUUUUUAAGAAGCGUUUGUAAGAGACGUAUCUAGAAAAGCUCCAGAAGGUACGGGCUGACUUGCGACUGUAGGAGACAUCGCAUUUCUCGUAGGAAGGAGGAGUCAUUUAUGGACUCCUGAGUGCCUGGGACGCUCCAUUCCUUUGUUAUAAGUUAUGUAAAUUGUCCUCGAGCUCUUAUGAGUUUUUCCAUUUUGCGGGCUCUUUCCCAGUAGUUUUUGAAAGCUUUUAUGUGUUUCCCUGUUUUGACAUUGCUUCCCUCUUAGCCAUUUCCGUAUGUUUCUAUGAGGUUUUAGGACGCUACGCCUAUCCAAUUUUUUGGUCACUUUAAGGGGAGCCUUAGAGUCUCCGUGAUAUUUUCAUGGUAAUGUAGGAUUUUAAGAACUAAUGAUCAGAAAGACUCUUGUGCAGGUUUAAAAGCAAGUUCAUGAAUUCGCCUGCCGUGUGCACGGAGAGAAGCCGUAGUUCCUGGGGCUGGAGCUAGUCCAGGAGGACAGUGAAGAUGUCGCCUUCCUUAGUCCCCCGGCCUGUGAGCAAGAGGAAGCUGCAGACCACUCGGGCCGCCCUCACCCUAACACCUUCAGCAGUAAGCAAGAUAAAACAACUUCUUAAAGAUAAGUCUGAGCAUCUAGGUAUGAAAGUUGGUGUCCAGGCCGGCCACGGUGGCUCAUGCCUGUAAUUCCAGCACUUUGGGAGGCCGAGGCGGGCAGAUCACGAGGUCAGGAGUUCGAGACCAGCCUGGCCAACAUAGUGAAACACCGUCUCUACUAAAAGUACAAAAAAAAAAUUUUUUUAAAAAAGAAAGUUGAUGUCCGAACCAAGGGCCGUAUUGCCCUUUCUUAUAGUCUAGAACAUACGACGACAAAGAAGAUUUUGAUGAAGUUCAAAUUGGAGUCAGAGUGCUCAUCAGAAAGAAAGCGCAGCCAACACGUUUAGUUACAGAAACGGAUUAUGUUGAAGACAAAUUAUCCAUUGCGUUUGUGUUCAGUAACCCAAGCAUCAAAGGAACUUGUGGCUGGGGAGAAGGCUUGACUAUUUGAAAUCUUAGGACUCCUCUGGCCAGGAGCUCCCAGACUCCUGUGGAAGCCUGGGGGCUCGCUGAAGAAGUCACGUGACUGGAACGUGCUAAAUGCGUGGCUAUCUGGUAAGGAAAAUAAAGUGGUGUAUUUUGAAUAAAAAUAAAAGCUCAUUUU
rnacentral:sRNA from 1 species